GAUCCGGAGCAGAGAGGCGGGGAUCCAGGGGAGGGGAUCUGGGGACAAGUGGAGAGGAGUUGAGAUCUACUGGAGAUAAACAGCGUUCAAGUACAGAGAAGCAGCGAUCCAGUAGGGAGAAGCUGGGGACUAGUGGAGACAAGUUGGCGCGUUCAAGAAUGGGGAGCAUAAAUGAAGAGCAAAUUGAGAGAGUGGUGGAAGUGGUUGGGGAUGAAAGAUUGAUAGAAAUCACCAAUGCUGAGAUGGAAAUUCCUUUUGAAAGUGUAGAGGCGAAUGAUGAAGAAGAGAAUGAGGAAGGGGUGGGGGAGGAGGAGGAUAUCUUAGAAGAAGAGAAUGAUAAUAGUGAUGAAUCUGUUUCUAUGGAAGAGAAAGCAAUUAUAGAGGAGGAAGAUGAAGUGAGUGAGGAGAUGGAGAAUGUAAGAAGGAAAGAGGAGCAAAUAGGGGAUGUUUUGCAAGUCAAAGAGGAGAAAUUAGAGUGAAGCAGAAUGCUAUUGACCCUGAAGGGGUAAAUAGAGAAAGCAUCUGAGCCUAAGAGAAGAAAGAGUGGGAAUGAAGAGCUACUGGGAAUGAGGUGGACACCAGGACCAAAGGAAGUGAAAAAGCCUGAUAGAGGGAAGUGGAACAUUUUGGGAAGAAAGAGAUUUGUUAAUAUGUCGGUAGCUAGAGGAAAAGUGGACAUUGGUUUCUUGGAAAAGAGCUGUGACUAAGGAGCUUGUAGAGAAGUGCUUGAGAAAUGGAUUGAGGACGGGCCAGAAAGAUUUAGUUUAACAGAUGAUUGAGUUUAUGAGAUGUAGGAGAAUGCAUAGUGAGAAAAAUGGACAGUGACAGCGGGAUGAGGAUAGAUCAUGAAGGUGGUGGAAAGAGAUGUGGGCUGGAGUGAUCAGUGUCUGAUAGAGGAUCCUAAAGGAUGAGGAGCUCGACAAAGGCGAGAGCAGAGAUGAGAAAAUAAAGAAGUGACGGAAAAAAACCUCUGCCUUCCCAAGAUCAACCACUCUGGGCCUCCUCUGGUGAUAUCUGAGUGUAGAGAAACUGUUGCCCCUCUUCUAAGAGGCAUGCACAGACACCCAGUCAAGACGGACAGUUUUCUGUUAUGUGAGUCUCUCAGAUUGCGCUUCACAGUAUAUAAACUGUGAACUAAAUCAUCAGACUUGUUCUUUGGCUGAAUUACAUUUUCUCCUGGAAUAUGAGAUGCAUUCCACUGAGACCACAGAAAGAAAAAGUGAAGAUCAAGACACCAUGACACCACCUUGUGAAAUAGAAACUGGAAGAUGUCAUUGUCAAUGUCCCCCUCGGGCCAGGGCCAGGAUCUCCACACCUGACUCAUGUUCCCUCCAGCGCUGGCGUGGGCCCUGAGCCCCCACGAGUCAGAUCUGCCCGCUGGAUCCACCGGAAUGAGCCUUUCCCCCUGCUUCAAGUUGGCAGCCCUGUGGUUGGUCUUCCCCACUCGAAGGACAAACUUCUCAGCCUUCUGCACCUCCUCCUUUCUGCUGCAGUUUGUCAGCCGGACGUCUUGCUAGGUCCCAGCCAGCUCUUCUGUCUCUGGGGAGAGUCUGUCUCUCUUGUUUGGUUACCAGUUCUUAUUGGCACCUGGGCAGGGCUCAAAAAACACCAGUGGUGUGGCUGAAUGAAUGACAGCGUCGGGACUGGCAAUGGGACCGCACCAGAUCUGCCAAUCCUUCUCCCAGAAUGUAUGCCAAGGGCCCAGGCCUGGCAGCCGCCUCCUCCAUGCCUGGCGAGGCUGUGAUGGAAGAACACUGAAUGGGCACUCAGGCACCCGGGUCCCAGAGUGAUCAGGUCUCCUCAGUGAUCCUAGGUUUUUGACUCAGCCAGGAAAAGAGCAGACCUCACAGCCUGGCCCUGCACUCUUCUUGUGACUGCCGGCGGGGGACCCCUGGGUGCAUCACAGACUCAUCACCCCACCUCUGGUCUCAGCCCCGCGGCCCCAGCCGGACAAACCCUCGGCCUCUGGAAUGAGCCCUGCAGCCCUGAGCAAGAGGAACACGGCCGGGUGAGCCAUCGCCAGCUCCUCCACCGCCAGUGUUUGCCGCGGUGCCCUUUGUCAGGGCACCCGACUGCCAUCCACAGGGAACCAGCUGCCCCUGCCCCAGGCUUCAGAGGUGAGGGACAAGAGAAUCACCUUCCCGUACCUCGUCUGGGAAGGAAGUCCUAUCUCUGGACUCAGCUGCUCCACAGGGAAGGCAGCCCCGGCCUCACCCCGCCCCACACGUCUGCCCAGGCUCGGAGCGGCCUCUGUCCAAAGACACCAGUGCAAAUGCAAACAGAGGGAAACUGUGGAACACCUCAGAUCUGUUCAGAAGUGGAGGCGUGGUCUCCAGGCCCUACCUCUGAAUGCUCAGAGGUCACUUGUGCUCCGUGGGGGCCUUGUCGCUGGCCGCGCCGCCCGAGCCCCCUGGGCCCGAGGUGCUCCCCCAUCACCCGUGCUGCCUGGCCCUGCGCAGCUCUGGCACCAGUAUCGGGUAGCAUGAGCGAGGCUCCCCGGCACUGGAGCUGGGCCACACCGCCUGCACAUGGAGCAGUAGACGGAGGAGUAACAGCAGAAACCCCCGAAGUGACGGUGCCGGGGAGCUGGGGACAGGGAGCGGGCCCACCUGGCCUGUCUCCACGCCGCUUCUACCCCAAGCCAGGGGCAGGUCAGCUAGCAGGGCCUCAGAGGAAGCCAGCGAAGCCAACUGCCUGAGGGCCUUCCCGGCCUUUCCCUAUUCCUCUCAGCAGGGGCCAGGAGUACCCAGGCUUCAUCCCCAUUCCUCGGUUCCUGGAGCUUCCUCUUUGGUCCAGGAGAUGGAAUUUAGCCCCUGGGUACAGGUGCCUGAGUUCAUCCUCAAGAAACCAGCAUCCCUCCCACAGACUUUGCCUGGCAACUUCUCACCUGCACUUCCAGGUUAGACCCCUCCCUUCGUCCAGGGUGGUCCUGCAGGCUGAGCGGCUCCGCUCACCCAGACGGCAGCAGCAGGUGGCACAGACCAUCCAGACGCCCUCCUCUGCACCUGCCGGGCCUGCCCCCGGGUGUAGGUGCCCCCCGCCCCCCACCGCCACCAGAAAUGCGGUGGGGAAAACCACUAGCACACAAGGCAGCCAACAAUUUGAACGAGCGGAAUUUCUUUGUCCUUUGUAAAAGUCAACACAUGAUCUGUUACUGAUUGGGAUGUGAAAUAAAACUAAAAAUAACAGCA